UACGUAGGGUGCAAGCGUUAAUCGGAAUUACUGGGCGUAAAGCGUGCGCAGGCGGUUUUGUAAGUCAGAUGUGAAAUCCCCGGGCUUAACCUGGGAACUGCGUUUGAAACUACAAGGCUAGAGUGUGGCAGGAGGGGGGUGGAAUUCCACGUGUAGCAGUGAAAUGCGCAGAUAUCGGGAAGAACACCCGUGGCGAAGGCGGCUCUCUGGGACGGUACUGACGCUGAGACGCGAAAGCGUGGGGAGCGAACAGG
rnacentral:rRNA from 1 species